GACAGAGGCCUCAAGCGUUAGGCGGAAUCACUGGGCUUAAAGCGUGUGUAGGCGGAUCGUUAAGUGUCUUGUGAAAUCCCACGGCUCACCCGUGGAACUGCUGGGCAUACUGGCGAUCUUGAGGCAUUCAGGGGCGAGCGGAACAAGUGGUGGAGCGGUGAAAUGCGUAGAUAACACUUGGAACGCCAAUGGUGAAAACAGCUCGCUGGGAAUGAUCUGACACUGAGACGCGAAAGCCAGGGGAGCGAACGGG
rnacentral:rRNA from 1 species